rnacentral:lncRNA from 1 species
GUAGGUGACCAAUGAACCUUACUGCCUAUGGAGGUGUAUUUACCACCGUGAACGUUCAAGAGAUUAACCGCGUACCGCGAUCAACUCUUGAGCGACUAACUAAGGGGAGUAAGACAAGACGGCAUUGGUUGUUCCAAGUGAGUUUAAAGAAUUCACGAGAGCUUUUAUGCUUGGGAUAGGUUAGACCUAUCUGUUUUCUUUAAUCCCCUUGGUUCUUCGCAUUGGAAAUAGGACGGGGAGUGGUGACCCCUAUCAGCCUUUUCCACUCGAUACGCUAUACUGAAGCGAUGGUGGCUCCAUACCCUGAAAGACGGAUAGGAGGAUUCUAUAGUAUUUUGUAGGCUCCCUUAUCCCUCAGGGGAGGUGAACCGGAGAAGAAGGCAGCCCUCGUUACGAAAGGCAGCUGGAUGGCUCAGUAAGAUGGGGGAGUGGGGUAGUGGAGGACGAUAAAGCCUCCACUACUAGACUCCCCAAUCUUACACUACUCUCUUAAAGGAAGUCCUUUAUAAAAGGAACUUCUACUUACAGUUGUUCUUCCUACUAAGAGGAAGUCUCUUAAGAAGAAAGCGGUUUGAGACCCUUAAUCAAGUCCUAACUAAAAUAAAGGGAUUUAACGCUAGUUUAAAGGGUUUUAGGUACCAUCAUACGCAGCAAGUCUAAAACGACGGUUUCCCCUUAGGGACUUUUGUCGUAGUUAUCCUUCUUGCAAGAAAAGCAUAAGGAACGUUUCCCCCCUUUAAUCCCCCUCUCCCUACGGUCGAGCUGGAUUAAUUCCCCCUCGGGGGGAUUUACUCCUUACCUAGAGUAUAACUUGUAUAGUAUUUGUGCCCUAAUGAAGUACCGUUCGACUCCUGUAGGGGAGUCUCACUCGCUUUCAGGAGAUUAUUCAUAGAAAAAGAAGUUUACCUGUUGCUUAAGGAAUCCCGUACAAACAAGAUAAUGCAACUCCUUUCUACCGUUCGGCUCCUGUAGAGGGGAGCCUCACUCUCUUACAGUUAAUUCAAAGGGUUACUCUUUCUCUGGCUAAUGGGAAUACUACUACUUUCUACCGCUCGGCUCCUGUCGGGGAGCCUCACUCUCUUGCAGAGGAUUUAAAGGUUUAGGAUUCACCUUGACAACCGCCACACACAUUGGGUCAUUCACUCACUCCCGCAUUGGGCGUCCCUCCCCCCUACGCUUUUUGGGCUACGGGGGGGACGCCCUGAGUGCGUUCGUUCAUUCCCACUAAAAAAGAGGAUAUAAUGUAUUUAUUUAUAUGUUGGGGACUUAGAGUGGAUACUAAUCCCCAUCUUUUCUUGAAGGAGCGUUCGGCUCCUGUAGGGGAGCCUCACUCUCUUACAGAGGGAAUUCUUCAUAUUGGGAUGAUUGUUAAGUACCCUACCUAGAUUUAUUCUAUUCUGUAAAGGUGCUCGCUCCGCUCGGGGCAGCCUACUUGCUUGUCCUUCCUUCGAUUGAAAUACCGUUCGGCUCCUGUCGGGGAGCCUCACUACCGUUCCGUUUACUCUUCAUAUUAGGAAGUUGUAGUUACCAUACCUAUUUUCUCUAGGCUGAAAGACAACAGGCGAUGUGACUUGUUUGUCUACUUUUCUUUCCAUCUUAUGAAGUAUCGUUCGACUCCUGUCGGGGAGUCUCACUUUCUUUCAGGUUAUUUUUCAAGCAGGGGAAUAUUUACGUAGGUGACCAAUGAACCUUACUGCCUAUGGAGGUGUAUUUACCACCGUGAACGUUCAAGAGAUUAACCGCGUACCGCGAUCAACUCUUGAGCGACUAACUAAGGGGAGUAAGACAAGACGGCAUUGGUUGUUCCAAGUGAGUUUAAAGAAUUCACGAGAGCUUUUAUGCUUGGGAUAGGUUAGACCUAUCUGUUUUCUUUAAUCCCCUUGGUUCUUCGCAUUGGAAAUAGGACGGGGAGUGGUGACCCCUAUCAGCCUUUUCCACUCGAUACGCUAUACUGA